GGCGCCGGGUGGAAAAUGGCCGCCUGGCUCCGGCCUCGGUGUGCUGCCCGCCUUCCGCCGGGCUGCGGGGCCUCCGCUGCGGGAGGAAGGAGGGGGUCUGAGGCUGCUCCCCGGGGGGGAGAGAAUGAUUACAAAUCCCCACGGAGUGGCAGGCACCCAGAGGACAAUUACACGCAGCUUCAGUCUGCUCGCCCACCGAGGAGGAGAUGGGAAGCAUUCCUGAAGUCACAAAAAAGCUCUGGAGCUGGGACUACAAUCGUAAUCUGUUGAUUUCCUUUCGUGCAACCCAUCUGCCUGUUAGGUAUGUGUAUGUGCCAUCUGAGACUGCUAACCAGACAGCUGCCUCUGCUGUUAACCCUUUCUCUCUGCAGCACAGCACUCCUGCCUAGAACUCCUAUUUGCCAUUAUGCACAAGUCUGUGAAGUGCUUGCCAAUGCCUUGUCUUUGACAGACCAAGAGGCAGCUAUAAGAAACGUUGUCCUUCCAGAGAGCUCUCAGAAGUUGAUCC
rnacentral:lncRNA from 1 species